UUGAUGACACCUCUCGGUACC
rnacentral:siRNA from 1 species